CGUCACAAGCUUCGAGCCCAGGUAUUCUCCAAAAACCCUAAUUUCGACUUGUAAUUCGAUCGGUAAAGUAGAAGCUUCACGCAAUUCGCAUGUUUCUUUCUCUUUCUAACUACAGCUCGGAAACAAAAUUGGAACUUGCAACAUAAAGUUUAGUUUUUUAUUGAAUUUGGAAGAUGAUUGGGAAUGCGGUUAUUCAAGUUCCAUCAUCACUAAUGCCAUCAUCUUCCAUGAUUGCUUGUCCUCGAGUUUCACCCAAUGGGGUUCCUUAUCUUCCACCGAAACCGAGAACUAGGCAUUUACUGGUCAGAGCUGCAUCCAAUUCCGACGCUGCUCAUGGUCAACCAUCGUCUGAUGAAGGGAAGAAUCCGCUCACGGUUGUUUUGGAUGUGCCCAGGAAUAUAUGGAGACAGACUUUAAAACCUUUGAGUGAUUUUGGGUUUGGUAAGAGAAGUGUUUGGGAAGGUGGGGUUGGUUUGUUCAUUGUCUCUGGAGCUACGCUUCUUGCUCUUAGCUGGGCUUGGUUGCGAGGGUUUCAAAUGCGGUCCAAGUUUAGGAAAUAUCAGACUGUGUUUGAGCUUAGUCAUGCAUCAGGCAUUUGCACGGGAACACCGGUUAGGAUCCGUGGGGUUACUGUUGGUACGAUUAUCCGUGUUAAUCCUUCCUUGAAGAAUAUUGAAGCUGUUGCUGAGAUAGAAGAUGAUAAGAUUAUUAUCCCGAAGAAUUCACUAGUUGAGGUGAAUCAGUCUGGUCUUCUAAUGGAAACUAUGAUCGACAUUAUGCCUAGAAAUCCGAUACCAGAACCUUCAGUAGGACCUCUGCAUCCUGAAUGUGGUAAAGAAGGUCUGAUCGUUUGUGAUAGGCAGACGAUAGAAGGAGUGCAAGGAGUUAGUUUAGAUGAAUUAGUUGGAAUUUUCACUCGUAUUGGACGCGAAGUAGAGGCCAUUGGUGUUGCCAAUACGUAUUCGCUUGCUGAAAGAGCAGCUUCGGUUAUUGAGGAAGCAAGGCCAUUGCUCAAAAAGUGAUGUCACAGAUUCAAGCCAUGGCUGAAGAUGCUCAACCUUUGCUCUCUGAGUUUCGUGAUAGCGGCUUGCUCAAGGAAGUUGAGUGUCUUACUCGAAGCCUUACCCAAGCUUCUGACGAUUUGAGAAAGGUUAAUUCGUCAAUUAUGACACCUGAGAAUACAGAACUCAUACAGAAGUCAAUCUACACUCUGGUUUAUACUUUGAAGAACGUCGAGAGUAUAAGCUCAGAUAUUCUGGGGUUCACAGGCGAUGAAGCCACAAGAAAAAACCUUAAACUACUCAUCAAAUCCCUAAGCAGGCUACUAUGAUCAGCCUGUAGAUUUGUCUGGAAAAUAAAAUCCAGAAUUUUUAAGGUGAGCAAGUUUAAAUUAUUCAACAAGGAAUGUGGUGUUCUUCUUUAGAGUUGAUUUUUUUUUUUUUUCGUUUUGUGUUUGAAUUUGGGUUUUAAUGGAGAGACAAAUUCAGUGUUAUACGAACAAAAAUGUGUGUGUCUCCAUUAAUGCGUUUCCGCAACAGCAUUUACUUUUAACACGGGAGACGACGACGAUGACGAUAAGCGCGUCUCGUUUUCGUGUA